AAUGUACGCUGGCGGCACGCCUAACACAUGCAAGUCGAGCGAGGUACUUGUACCUAGCGGCAGACGGGUGAGUAACAUGUAGGUAUCUGCCCUUUGGCCUGGAAUAACACGAGGAAACUUGUGCUAAUACCGGAUAAGUCUUUACGGAGAAAGCUUUAUGCACCAUUGGAUGAGCCUGCACUUGAUUAGUUUGUUGGUGGGGUAAUGGCCUACCAAGACUGUGAUCAAUAGCUGAUUUGAGAGGAUGAUCAGCCACAUUGGGACUGAGACACGGCCCAAACUCCUACGGGAGGCAGCAGUGGGGAAUCUUGCACAAUGGAGGAAACUCUGAUGCAGCGAUGCCGCGUGAAUGAAGAAGGCCCUUGGGUCGUAAAGUUCUUUCGUUAGGGAAGAAGGGAUUUGUAGUUAAUACCUGCAUUUUUUGACGGUACCUAAAUAAGAAGCACCGGCUAAUUUCG
rnacentral:rRNA from 1 species